rnacentral:rRNA from 1 species
AACGUACGCUGGCGGCACGCCUAACACAUGCAAGUCGAACGAAGUAGCAAUACUUAGUGGCAGACGGGUGAGUAACAUCGUAGGUAUCUGCCCUUUGGCCUGGAAUAACACGAGGAAACUUGUGCUAAUACCGGAUAAGUCUUUACGGAGAAAGCUUUAUGCACCAUUGGAUGAGCCUGCACUUGAUUAGUUUGUUGGUAGGGUAAUGGCCUACCAAGACUGUGAUCAAUAGCUGAUUUGAGAGGAUGAUCAGCCACAUUGGGACUGAGACACGGCCCAAACUCCUACGGGAGGCAGCAGUGGGGAAUCUUGCACAAUGGAGGAAACUCUGAUGCAGCGAUGCCGCGUGAGUGAAGAAGGCCCUUGGGUUGUAAAGCUCUUUCGUCGGGGAAGAAAAUGACUGUACCCGAAUAAGAAGGUCCGGCUAACUUCGUGCCAGCAGCCGCGGUAAUACGAAGGGACCUAGCGUAGUUCGGAAUUACUGGGCUUAAAGAGUUCGUAGGUGGUUGAAAAAGUUAGUGGUGAAAUCCCAGAGCUUAACUCUGGAACUGCCAUUAAAACUUUUCAGCUAGAGUAUGAUAGAGGAAAGCAGAAUUUCUAGUGUAGAGGUGAAAUUCGUAGAUAUUAGAAAGAAUACCAAUUGCGAAGGCAGCUUUCUGGAUCAUUACUGGCACUGAGGAACGAAAGCAUGGGUAGCGAAGAGGAUUAGAUACCCUCGUAGUCCAUGCCGUAAACGAUGUGUGUUAGACGUUGGAAAUUUAUUUUCAGUGUCGCAGGGAAACCGAUAAACACACCGCCUGGGGAGUACGACCGCAAGGUUAAAACUCAAAUGAAUUGACGGGGACCCGCACAAGUAGUGGAGCAUGUGGUUUAAUUCGAAGAUACGCGCAGAACCUUACCAACACUUGACAUGUUCGUCGCGACUCUAAGAGAUUAGAGUUUUCGGUUCGGCCGGACGAAACACAGGUGCUGCAUGGCUGUCGUCAGCUCGUGUCGUGAGAUGUUGGGUUAAGUCCCGCAACGAGCGCAACCCUCACUUUUAGUUGCCAUCAUUAAGUUGGGCACUCUGAAAGAACUGCCAGUGAUAAGCUGGAGGAAGGUGGGGAUGACGUCAAGUCCUCAUGGCCCUUACGUGUUGGGCUACACACGUGCUACAAUGGUAUCUACAACAGGAAGCAAGACUGCGAAGUUAAGCAAAUCCCUAAAAGAUACCUCAGUUCGGAUUGCACUCUGCAACUCGAGUGCAUGAAGCUGGAAUUACUAGUAAUCGUGGAUCAGCGUGCCACGGUGAAUGCGUUCCCGGGUCU